GACAGAGGGGGCAAGCGUUGCUCGGAAUCACUGGGCGUAAAGGGUGCGUAGGCGGGUCUUUUAAGUCAGGGGUGAAAUCCUGGAGCUCAACUCCAGAACUGCCUUUGAUACUGAAGAUCUUGAGUUCGGGAGAGGUGAGUGGAACUGCGAGUGUAGAGGUGAAAUUCGUAGAUAUUCGCAAGAACACCAGUGGCGAAGGCGGCUCACUGGCCCGAUACUGACGCUGAGGCACGAAAGCGUGGGGAGCAAACAGGG
rnacentral:rRNA from 1 species